CUACCUUCAAGUUAUUGCGUGUAUGGACUCAUGAUAGCCACGCUAUCGCUGAGUUAUAGUGUGUAUGGACUCUGGACUUUGUUAGCCUUGGGGCUAAUAGUUGGACUGCAUCUGCGUGGAUUUCAUCACCCACCCGGACGAGAGGAAACCUGCUGCACCGUUGGCGGGAGAGAUACUUUAUCUAGGCCUGCUGCCAAGUGACUGGUGUGAGGAGCUGUUUUCCUGCGGAUCGAGGACUGUGGUAAAUCAGACUUUGGGGUGUCAGAAAUGGAAAAGCCUCUUAAUUACCUUCAGCUUCAGAUGGACUGAUGAGUGAAGACCAGAGUUGGCAAGCUCUGAAGAUGAAGACAACACAGCGAAAGUUGCUACAUAAAAUCAUUACGGAGUUAGAGAUUGAUCCAAUUUACUGUAAUUGGGUGCUGUCAGAACGGCUGUAAGGUUGUCACUCCAGGCUCUGCUCAGUCAAACCGAUGCAUUUGAACUAAAACAAUUGUUUCAGCAUUUAGAAGCCAUUAAGCAAGGGAUCAAUGCUACAAAGAAUAAAAACUUUUCACAGAUGGUGACUUAAUUUAGCUUAGAAGGUGAGGAAAGUACUACUACACUCCCCACCUGAAAAAUCAGUGGAUAAUUGCAAAAGCCAUAAUUAGUGUGCUUGCUUCAGCAAAGCACAUUCAUGUUCUUAGAAAUGUUCUUAAAAAACAAACAAGAAAAAUAUUAAAACUGCUCACUGUUUCCACUUUUGACACAUAAAUUAUACAUCUGUGGGUUAGAGUUUUAUAGUUUGAGAGUGAGUAGGCUUGUGGCAAAAUGUAGAAGUUACAACAGCUAAUGCUUAAUUGAUGGGUGGAGAACUGAUUGUCCAAAUUGAAGGCUUUCAUGACUUCUUUAAAAGACUAUCCAUCCCACACAGGUGUAUGGUAUUUAGCUAAUUAGCCUUCUCCUCAGGAAAGCGUGUGCUUGUGGAGAUCAGCUUGCCUGGGAGACAUGUCGAGUAAGUGGUUAGCCCUGUAAAAAUGUCUUUGGCUGGUCCUUAGUGUGGCCAGCUUUUCUGUUGUUUGAUAACGAUGCUUUAGAAAUCACCUCUCGCCAAGGUACUCUCCUGAUAAUUAAAGUUGGCUGAUUUGAUGUAACUUUUUGCUUUCAGAAGACUGUCCAGCUAACACUGGUGUUUGGCUAAUGAGACCUAUCCUCAGAAAACCUUAAGCUUAUGAAAAGCAGUUUUCCUGACAGAUGCUAUAACUCAACUGCCAUUCCACCCAAAGGUUCAUCUUUGACAAGCAUUUAUGUUGGAUGCUUAAGUUUCUACUUCCACUUUACUCAACAACUUGUCUUACCAUUGGAAGUGGGUGUUUUUUUUUUUUUUAUUUAUUUUAUUUUUUUAGGCUUUGUGAUAUGUAAUAAAGCACUGCCUUCCAGCUAAA